AUUGAACGCUGGCGGCAGGCCUAACACAUGCAAGUCGAACGAGUGGCGGACGGGUGAGUAAUGUCUGGGGAACUGCCUGAUGGAGGGGGAUAACUACUGGAAACGGUAGCUAAUACCGCAUACCAUCAGAUGUGCCCAGAUGGGAUUAGCUAGUAGGUGGGGUAAAGGCUCACCAAGGCGACGAUCCCUAGCUGGUCUGAGAGGAUGACCAGCCACCCUGGAACUGAGACACGGUCCAGACUCCUACGGGAGGCAGCAGUGGGGAAUAUUGCACAAUGGGCGCAAGCCUGAUGCAGCCAUGCCGCGUGUAUGAAGAAGGCCUUAGGGUUGUAAAGUACUUUCAGCGGGGAGGCGUUACCCGCAGAAGAAGCACCGGCUAACUCCGUGCCAGCCGUCGCGGUAAUUC
rnacentral:rRNA from 1 species